UACGGAAGGUGCAAGCGUUAUCCGGUUUUAUUGGGUUUAAAGGGUGCGUAGGCGGCUUAUUAAGUCAGUUGUGAAAUCCUAGCGCUCAACGUUAGAAUGGCGAUUGAUACUGGUAGGCUUGAGUCAAGAAGAGGUAAGUAGAAUUUAUGGUGUAGUAGUGAAAUGCAUAGAUAUCAUAAGGAAUACCGAUAGCGUAGGCAGCUUACUGGUCUUGAACUGACGCUGAGGCACGAAAGCGUGGGGAGCAAACAGG
rnacentral:rRNA from 1 species